UACGGAGGGUGCAAGCGUUAAUCGGAAUUACUGGGCGUAAAGCGUGCGCAGGCGGUUUGUUAAGUCCGUUGUGAAAGCCCCGAGCUCAACUUGGGAAUUGCAGUGGAUACUGGCAGGCUGGAGUACGGUAGAGGAAGGUGGAAUUCCCGGUGUAGCAGUGAAAUGCGUAGAUAUCGGGAAGAACACCCGUGGCGAAGGCGGCUCUCUGGGACGGUACUGACGCUGAGACGCGAAAGCGUGGGGAGCGAACAGG
rnacentral:rRNA from 1 species